CACAUCGCAAAUUCAAAGGUUUUAGAGCUGGAGAUGGAGGAACUGUAAGAUGCUUAUCCCAAUUUUAUGUGUCUAUUUCUAUUUUAGUUUUCGCCAAGUUCUUGUUUUGGAAAUGAAUAGGAAAAACAUUGAUUUUCCGUACUUGUUUCGUAUUUGUAAUUUGUAAUUUUUAUCUUGAUUUUUAAGUUUUGUUUUGCAGGGUAAGAAAAUUCAUGGAUAAAGAAGUUUUGGUGAUAUAUAUAUAGUGCUUGUGUAAGUUUUAUGAGUUCUAAACAGGAAUGUAAUGAAGAUUCUUAAGUUCUGUUCUACCCAAAAAAUUGUAAAUGGUGAUUAUUUUGGAUUUGUUCUCGGUUUGAAUUACUCUAAUUAUGAACUAAUAAACAUUUAUGUUGUGAUUUUAU
rnacentral:lncRNA from 1 species